UGGGUUCAAGCAUAAUACUUGUUGAAAUUUAAACAAGUUUUUAGAUAUAAAUUUAUAUUUCGUAUUAAAAAUUAUGAAUUUAAACUUCCUAUAACAAUAUUUCAAAAGCUACAUCAAAGGAAACUGAUAGUUCUUCACUUCUUCUACAUAUCUUCACUUAAAGAUCAGAAACCCUGGAAGUAACUCCAGUGUCAUCUUCAUCCUCAUAUAUACUUUUUUCAUGCUUACUGUUUCUACAUAUAUUUAC
rnacentral:lncRNA from 1 species